ensembl:misc_RNA Metazoa_SRP Metazoan signal recognition particle RNA
GCUGGGCACAGUGGCUCAUGCCUGUAAUCCCAGCACUUUGGGAGGCCAAGGCGGGUGGAUCACUUGAGGUCAGGAGUUCGAGACCAGCCUGGUCAAUAUGGUGAAACCUCGUCUGUACUAAAAAUUAGCCGGGCAUGAUGGCGGGUGGCUAUAAUCCCAGUUACUUGGAAGGCUGAGGCAGGAGAAUCACCUGAAUCCAGGAGGUGGAGGUUGCAGUGAGCCGAGAUUGCACCAUUGCACUCCAGCCUGGGCAACAGAGUGAGACCCUGUCUCA